GCCACCCUAAAAAAAAAAAAAAAAAAAAAAAAUACAUACACAUAUAGACAAGAUACAUUCAAAACAGAACACAUCCGUGGAGGUGGGAGGGUAUGAAACAUACACAUCAGAGGAAGCCUACCUUGUCUGAUUUGCCACCCUAAAAAAAAAAAAAAGAAUAAUAUAUAUAUACAUAUAUAUAUAUAAAUAAAAGACAAAAUACAUUU